GUCCUUUCAGGGACAUUUGAUAAAAUUGGAACGAUACAAAAAAGAUUAGCAUAGCUCCUACGCAAGGAUAACACGCAUAAAUUGAGAAAUGGUCUAAAUUUUU